AUACGUAGGGUGCAAGCGUUAAUCGGAAUUACUGGGCGUAAAGCGUGCGCAGGCGGUUUUGUAAGACAGUGGUGAAAUCCCCGGGCUCAACCUGGGAACUGCCAUUGUGACUGCAAGGCUGGAGUGCGGCAGAGGGGGAUGGAAUUCCGCGUGUAGCAGGGAAAUGCGUAGAUAUGCGGAGGAACACCGAUGGCGAAGGCAAUCCCCUGGGCCUGCACUGACGCUCAUGCACGAAAGCGUGGGGAGCAAACAGGAUUAGAUACCCUGGUAGUCCACGCCCUAAACGAUGUCAACUGGUUGUUGGGGAUUUAUUUUCUCAGUAACGAAGCUAACGCGUGAAGUUGACCGCCUAGGGAGUACGGCCGCAAGGUUAAAACUCAAAUGAAUUGACGGGG
rnacentral:rRNA from 1 species